rnacentral:sRNA from 1 species
UCCAGUUCACGUUUUGAGAAAAAUCCAAAAAAAAA